AGGCGGGGUUAGGGAAUGAAAAUCGGGGCUUCUUCUUGCGCAGAUAGGUGGGGAGACUGUUGAUCAUUUCUUUCUGGGGGUAUAGGAGCCAUUAGUGAGAUACACUCUUGUAUAGCUAGAAUUCUAAUGUCGAUCCGUGAAGCGGGACGCGUGACGUUUUCUGAUGGGCAGUUUGACGGGGGGGGCGCCCUCUUAAAAGUUAACUGGGGCGUUCAAAGGUCCCUUCAAAUGGGCGGGAAUUCAUUCUUAAAGGUUAAGGGAUUAGGGAACUUUGAUUGAAAAACUUACAAUCCAAAAGGGACCAAAAUCCGCCCUUAUGAUUCGAAGGGUCCGAGGGGAAAGGCCGUCCCUCAACGGAAUAAAGUUACUCUGGGGAAAAAGGGUUGAA
rnacentral:rRNA from 1 species